AAGUCGUAACAAGGUUUCCGUAGGUGAACCUGCGGAAGGAUCAUUAGUGAAUAAACUUGGAAGCUUCGGCUUCCGGUCUGAUGGAGCCUCGUCUCCUGAUGAUUUUGUUUUUUACAUCCAUAACACCUGUGAACUGUUGGAGACUUUGGUUGGACUUCGGUUCUUCCAUUGGCUCUGUUACACCAAACAACGUAUUGUAACAAAUGUAAACUUAUUUUAAACAAAAUAAAACUUUUAACAACGGAUCUCUUGGCUCUC
rnacentral:misc_RNA from 1 species